rnacentral:rRNA from 1 species
AUUGAACGCUGGCGGCAGGCCUAACACAUGCAAGUCGAGCGGUAGCACAAGAGAGCUUGCUCUCUGGGUGACGAGCGGCGGACGGGUGAGUAAUGUCUGGGAAACUGCCUGAUGGAGGGGGCUAACUACUGGAAACGGUAGCUAAUACCGCAUGAUGUCUUCGGACCAAAGUGGGGGACCUUCGGGCCUCACGCCAUCAGAUGUGCCCAGAUGGGAUUAGCUAGUAGGUGGGGUAAUGGCUCACCUAGGCGACGAUCUCUAGCUGGUCGGAGAGGAUGACCGGCCACACAGGAACUGAGACACGGUCCAGACUCCUACGGGAGGCAGCAGUGGGGAAUAUUGCACAAUGGGCGCAAGCCUGAUGCAGCCAUGCCGCGUGUAUGAAGAAGGCCUUCGGGUUGUAAAGUACUUUCAGCGAGAAGAAAGGCAUUGUGGUUAAUACCCACAGUGAUUGACGUUACUCGCAGAAGAAGCACCGGCUAACUCCGUGCCAGCCGCCGCCGUAA